rnacentral:rRNA from 1 species
GACGAACGCUGGCGGUGUGCCUAACACAUGCAAGUCGAACGGAGAUGUUGAUUUCGGUUGACGUCUUAGUGGCGAACGGGUGAGUAACGCGUGAACAAUCUGACCUUAAGAGGGGGAUAACAACGAGAAAUCGUUGCUAAUACCGCAUAAGACCACAAUGCCGCAUGGCGAAGGGGUCAAAGGAGCAAUCCGCUUAAGGAGGGGUUCGCGUCCCAUUAGGUAGUAGGUGAGGUAACGGCUCACCUAGCCGACGAUGGGUAGCCGAGCUGAGAGGCUGAUCGGCCACACUGGAACUGAGACACGGUCCAGACUCCUACGGGAGGCAGCAGUGGGGAAUAUUGGGCAAUGGGCGCAAGCCUGACCCAGCAACGCCGCGUGAGGGAAGAAGGUUUUCGGAUUGUAAACCUCUGUCGCAGAUGACGAAACAAAUAGACGGUAAUCUGUGAGGAA